UUUGAUUGGUUAAAAUUUACAUGAGUUUCAUCAAAUCAUGUGGUUCCCAUAUAAAUUUUGUGAGACGUAUGUGAACUUUAACCAAUCAAAG
rnacentral:pre_miRNA from 1 species